AACGCUAGCUACAGGCUUAACACAUGCAAGUCGAGGGGCAGCGUGAACUUAGCUUGCUAAGUUUGAUGGCGACCGGCGCACGGGUGAGUAACACGUAUCCAACCUGCCGAUGACUCGGGGAUAGCCUUUCGAAAGAAAGAUUAAUACCCGAUGGCAUAGUUCUUCCGCAUGGUAGAACUAUUAAAGAAUUUCGGUCAUCGAUGGGGAUGCGUUCCAUUAGGUUGUUGGCGGGGUAACGGCCCACCAAGCCUUCGAUGGAUAGGGGUUCUGAGAGGAAGGUCCCCCACAUUGGAACUGAGACACGGUCCAAACUCCUACGGGAGGCAGCAGUGAGGAAUAUUGGUCAAUGGACGAGAGUCUGAACCAGCCAAGUAGCGUGAAGGAUGACUGCCCUAUGGGUUGUAAACUUCUUUUAUACGGGAAUAAAGUGAGGCACGUGUGCCUUUUUGUAUGUACCGUAUGAAUAAGGAUCGGCUAACUCCGUGCCAGCAGCCGCGGUAAUACGGAGGAUCCGAGCGUUAUCCGGAUUUAUUGGGUUUAAAGGGAGCGUAGGCGGACGCUUAAGUCAGUUGUGAAAGUUUGCGGCUCAACCGUAAAAUUGCAGUUGAUACUGGGUGUCUUGAGUACAGUAGAGGCAGGCGGAAUUCGUGGUGUAGCGGUGAAAUGCUUAGAUAUCACGAAGAACUCCGAUUG
rnacentral:rRNA from 1 species